GCGCCCGACUCGCUUGGACGCAGCCCGUCGAAUGGGCUACAAGGCCAAGCAGGGUGUUGUCAUGGUUCGAACCCGUGUCCGCCGUG
rnacentral:tRNA from 1 species